rnacentral:rRNA from 1 species
UACGAAGGGGGCUAGCGUUGCUCGGAAUUACUGGGCGUAAAGCGCACGUAGGCGGCUUUCUAAGUCGGGGGUGAAAUCCUGGAGCUCAACUCCAGAACUGCCUUCGAUACUGGAAAGCUCGAGUCCGGGAGAGGUGAGUGGAACUGCGAGUGUAGAGGUGAAAUUCGUAGAUAUUCGCAAGAACACCAGUGGCGAAGGCGGCCCCCCUGGGCCGGCCCUGACACUGAGACGCGAAGGCGUGGGGAGCGAACAGG